rnacentral:lncRNA from 1 species
AACCUGAAAAGAUCACCAGCGUCCCUUGGGAAAACCAGUUAUGCCUCUGAGUAUGAUUUUUUUCAAUGUUUUUUUCAAAACCGACCUUCUCGAUGACCCAGCGCAAAAUUGAAUGUCAAGAGAAUAAGAUCUUGCGAUACUAACUUCCAAUUCUGUCCGGAAAAGUAGCUAACCCCCCCAAACAAAAGAACAAACACCUUAUUCAUGCCCAAGGACGUCCUCAGAAUUAAUGUAGAGCUGUCAUUACGAGCUGCAUGCGGUUAAAAAUAACAUUAAAUCGCUUAUUUUUGUAGCCUUGAUGUUCGUUUUUGGUUUUGGUUUUUUUUUUUUUUUUGAUGUUCGUUUUUAAGAUAAAGCCCCAAUCAAUUCCCCCCUUUAUAUAUUAGAGAAUUUCUGUCACCAAAGUGGAUUCAUUUGAACAAUUAUUCUCCAGAACAGAAGAGGCAUUUUGUCCCCCUGCUUUUUGAAAUAGAAAUAUACAAUCCAUGGGGCGCCUGGGUGGCGCAGUCGGUUAAGCGUCCGACUUCAGCCAGGUCACGAUCUCGCGGUCCGGGAGUUCGAGCCCCGCGUCAGGCUCUGGGCUGAUGGCUCGGAGCCUGGAGCCUGUUUCUGAUUCUGUGUCUCCCUCUCUCUCUGCCCCUCCCCCGUUCAUGCUCUGUCUCUCUCUGUCCCAAAAAUAAAUAAACGUUGAAAAAAAAAAUUAAAAAAAAAAAAAAAGAAAUAUACAAUCCAAGUAUAAAACCACAACUUUGGAUGCCUGUUUCUUUUUGACAGAAAAGUACCUCCAACCGGAAACUAUCUUCUUGACCAGAAAAUGCUGCUCUCCCAGAUGCUCGCUCUGCUUUGCAGCUUUAACCCACGUGGGCUUUCGUUUUGUUUGUUGUGUGUGUGUGUGUGUGCAUGCGCGUGCAGGGGUGGGGGGAGAGGAGGAAGGGUGGCCAAAAUGAUUUCUUGGUCACUGCCUCUUGGUAAAGACGCACACAGGCAGGUUGGGAACCACUUAUGGGAAGAAAACUGUAUUUGUAGCUACAUGGCCCACUUUCAGUUAAAAUAAAACUCACUUUCCCCCUUAAACAAAAGGGGCAGGAAGCACUCAACCUGGGUGUCUCCCCAGGCUGGACAAUGACUUUGAGCCACUCAUUUCCUCUCCUUGUUCCUGGUCUGAGUUUUCCAUUCAUAGGGCCAGAGCCCAGAUCUCAGGUCCAAACAACUGACUGCUUGGCAGGGAGACUGGAGGGCGAAUUCAAAGCAGGCUUUGGGCUCUCUUGCUGAAGGUGUCUCAGAGGGUAGGGGACACUGAGCACAUCGAUGACAACAUUUCCCCAGUACUUUUGUGGCUCCUGCCCUGUCCUGGGUACGUGACAUGAACUAGCCCCUUUUGUCCUCACAGACUGCCCAGGAAGACAGUAGGACUCUGCCUGUUUUACAGAUGAGGAGACUGAGGCACAGAGGGGAAAAGGAAGAGGCUCCACAGCUUUCAAAGGACAGGGCUGGGACUCGAACCCGGGCUGCCUCCAGAGCCCAAGCUUCACCCUAGACGAGUGAGUCUCAAACUUGGUGGGGUGAGUGUGGGCAUUUGGACCCUCAGAAGACAUUUGGAGGGCGACGUGUGCAGACAUUUUCAGCUGUUAGGACUUGGCGAGAGCUACUGGAAUCGAGAAGGUAGAAGCCAGGGAGGUUGGUGAAUCUCCGACAGGACAGGCCCCUCGCUGAGUUAUUCAGUCUAUAGCGUGGCUGUUACCGAAACCCUACCUAGACUCUUUCAGGAAAAGACUAUUGAGUGGCUCAUUCGGUUAAGCAUCUGACUCUUGAUUUUGGCUC